CUGCCUCCGCCACAGAUGCCGAAGACGGACUGGCAACCUAUGAAAAUCUCCCGGGUAAAGAUCAGGGAACCACCCACGCGCCAGAGGGAGACCCCACAUAUAUGGGUCUGAAGCUGGAUGAUCGAUCGGUUUACAGUGAACUACGGAGGUAGCCGGGCCGACCCAUUGAUCAGCUCGUUGUAUCAACACGGUUCACAAGGUCACAAUUUCACGUUAUUGGAGUAGAAUUAGGCCAUUCGGCCCAUCGAGUCUACUCCGCCAUUCAAUCAUGGCUGAUCUCUGCCUCCCAAUCCUAUUUUCCUGCCUUCUCCCCAUGUAUUGUGUUUUAAAAAUAUAUAUAUAUUAUGAUGUUUUUAUAAAUGAUAUACCAAG